GAUGAACGCUGGCGGCGUGCUUAACACAUGCAAGUCGAACGAAGCACUUUAUUUGAUUUCCUUCGGGACUGAUUAUUUUGUGACUGAGUGGCGGACGGGUGAGUAACGCGUGGGUAACCUGCCUUGUACAGGGGGAUAACAGUUGGAAACGGCUGCUAAUACCGCAUAAGCGCCCAGCAUCGCAUGAUGCAGUGUGAAAAACUCCGGUGGUAUAAGCUGGACCCGCGUUGGAUUAGCUAGUUGGUGAGGUAACGGCCCACCAAGGCGACGAUCCAUAGCCGAGCUGAGAGCGUGACCGGCCACAUUGGGACUGCGACACGGCCUACACUCCGACGGGAGGCAGCAGUGGGGAAUAUUGCACAAUGGGCGAAAGCCUGAUGCAGCGACGCCGCGUGAGAGAAGAAGUAUUUCGGUAUGUAAAGCUCUAUCAGCAGGGAAGAUAAUGACGGUACCUGACGAAGAAGCACCGGCUAAAUACGUG
rnacentral:rRNA from 1 species